rnacentral:ncRNA from 2 species
AAGUUUGUCCUGUUAUUUGGUUUUCAAUCUAGAUUAGAUUGAAAUGAAAAAGGGAAUUUGGUGCAAAUCCAAAACUGUCCCGCAGCUGUAAGUUCAUUAAACUAUGUUUCAUUGGCCACUGUACAGGAUGUAUGGGAAGGCGAAACAAUUGAGAACAAGUCAGAAUACCUGCCGAAUAAUAAAAAAUCUA